UCACUCUCCCUGGAUGCUAAGCCUAGUCUGAACUAUUGAGAUUUAAAUUGUUGGCAUUCUAGAAAUUGUCAAACAUGUCGAACCAGAGAGACCAGUAGACUCUUACAUCUACCACUCAGGUCCUGGAAUUAUCAGGAUUUUGCAGUUGCUUUCUCUGUUCUUCUGUAGUUUUUAUUUUUUCUAUUUAUGCCUUUUUUCUUCUUUUUUUUUUUUUUGGCUGGAAUAUUUCAGAACAAUAUGGAAGACAGUUUUACCAUUGGCUCAUCUCCCUGAUCUGUGUGGCAUUUCUUCUUCCUUUGGAUCAGUUUCUUACCUUUGUGUAUCAUGUGGUGGUUGGGUAUUUAUUUUACUUAAAGAUACUUACAGGAUCUAAUCAUAUGCCAAUACCCUUUUCUAAGUCCUUUACAAAUAUGAGCCAGCUUACUCCUCAUCAGAAUCUUAUGAAGUAGAUAUUUUUUCUUAGAGAUUUUAGAGGCUGUGUUUUUUUAUUUAAAAGAGAUUUUUCAUUUGGAGAUGAAACUGAGGCACAGAACCUGAGAGUAGCCUGCCCUGGGUCAUUCAGUGGUCUAGCUGGCCUUCAAACUCAGGCUAUGUAGUUUCAUAAUCUGUGUUCUUAGUUGCCAUCCUGUGUUACAAAUAUGAUUAAUGUAAAAGCCGUCACUGUCGUCUGUUCCCUAAUGGUGCUAAGUUACAGGAAGGAAAAAACUAGUUCCUGGCCUCCAGAUGCUCCCUGUAUGAUGGGGAGAAGGACUUGGAGACUAGUAACUGCAGCACAGAGGAGUAAAUGUUGUAAUGCUUAUGUGUAGGAUUCAGUGGGAAUGUGAAAGGAAGAUCAUACAGGACUCCUGGGGAAAUUAAGGUUGGCUUCACAGAGGCUGUGAUCCUGAAUCUCCUAUCAGAGGAUGGAUGAGGGGGAGAAAAUUCAGGUAGAUGCGACAUCCUGGGCCUCAAGGUGAGAACACAGAUAGGACUGGAGAAAGAUGGAUGUGGUACUGGACUUCUCAGGCAGUAAGAUUAUGAAGGCACUGACUUGCCUGCUAAAAAGCUUUGAGUCAAUCCUGCUCCUAGUAGGGAGCUACUGAUGGAUUUUAAGCAGAGAAGAAACAGGGUGAGAUUUGUAGGUUAACUAAGCUCUCUCUGGGGGCAGUAUAGAGGAUGGAUUGGGAGGAGGUGUGACUGGAUGCCUUUUCAUUUGUGCUGGUAAGAAAAGCUGGGGCCUGAACCAGAGACUCAUCUGUGGGAAUGGAGAGAGUGGAUCUGAGAGGUGAGGACCCAGGGGGUCCUUGUUAUGCAAGUGUUCGUUAUUUGAUUUUCUGAAUUACGAGGUUGCCUAGGAAAUCAGCAGUGGUCAUAACCUUAAAUUUUCACUAAUGAAUCGAUCACUUAUAAAAACAGUUCAAGCGUGCGAAUGUACUUUAAGGUGACCCCCAGCGCAUUAUGCCAUCGUGUAAGCCCCUCCAUGGGUAUGUCACAUUAUAUAAUUUUAGCAGACUGGAGCAAGAACUUCUGCAGACUUUGAAGAAGUGAGCUGCCAUGUUUAGGGGUGUGGAUCGUGUGGAAAGGAACUGUGGGCCGCCUCUAGGAACUGAGAGUGACCCCCAGCUGACAGCUAGAGAGAAAAUGGGGGCCUCAGUCCUAUAACUGCAGGAAACUGAAUUCUGCCAACAACCAUAUGAGUUUUGAAGAGGACCCCAAGCUCCAGAGUGAAAUACAGCCUGGUUGAUAGCUUGAUGGCCUGUGAGACCCUGGACAGAAGACUCAGAUGUAGGAUUAUGGAUAGUCAAUAAAAGGAUUGCUGGAGAACUGCUCAAACCAUUCUACAGACAAAUAAGGAUCGAGCAGGGCUAGACCCCGCUCAUAAUUGGCGAGAAAAACAGCCAGCAUGCUGACAAGAAACCGGUCUCGAGAGAGAAGGAUUUGAAUAUCUUUGAAUAUUAAGAAACACCUUGGAGAAAAUGAGGCACUGAGGGUCUGAGUUUCCCAAGAUGCACUGGGAGCACAUCCUAAAAAAGGCUGAUCUUGAUUAUAAGCCAUUGCCUGGGAGGCAGAAAAGCAAAUUCUUUCCUCCUCCUCCUUUCAUAGUUGCUUUUCUUAACUUUUUGUUUAUAUAUAUAUUUGCAAGCAUUAAAAUAACACUGGUAAUUAAGACAUCAGGAUAGGGUGGUCCUGGUGUGAUGGGUCUAUAUCCAGCAACAUAUGUUCAAGACCUCAGGAAACACACAGUGAAACUGCAUCCUGGUUGGCACCGUGUUAUAAAUGCGUGUUGCUGGGCAGAAAUCCUAAUGUCACCGCUCUUGGUUCUGAGACGUUGUGAUCAUCUCCCACAAAUGAGUGUUUAAAACCUGUGAGACAUUUCCACAGAGCACUGAGUUAUUUUUAAGUAACUUCUGGGGUUGUUUUUUUUUUUAUAUGAAGUCUGAUUCACAUUUAUUACAUAAAUUUUUUUAGAAAGAUGGGGAGAAAAGGAAAACAACUUGCUGGUAAUCUCACUGGCUGGAAGUAGCCACCGUAAAGCCCAUUGGUGUCUGCCUUCUAGAUUGUAAUUUUAACAAAAAUGGAAUUUUUUUUAAAAUGAGCUCUUGUUGAAGGUUUUGUAAUCUUUUUUAAAACUUAAUAUUUUAUAAGAUUAAUGUCAUUGAGUUAUCCUUUACAUCAUCAUUUUUAAUGGCUGAAUAUGUUUACAUUCUCGUAAGUGGAUAUAGCAUAAUUUAUGUAACCAGGUCCUCAGUGUUUGACAUUUAGUUUGUUUCUAGUUUCUCACAGCUCUCUCUCAGCGUCCUUGAGUUAUGUCAUUGAAUACAUUCAGAAUUGCUCUUUUAUAAUAAAUUACUAACUGGAGUUGUUGCAUUUAAGGGUAUGUAGCAUUCUAAGGCUUUGGAUACAUGUGUUGCCAAACUCCCCUCCCUCUUAAAUAUUGUACCAUCUGAGUCUAAGAGUGUGCUAAAGUCUCUGCUGCUCUCGAAUGUGCAGAGGUAUGUCACAGACAUCUGAAGCUGGCUGAACAGAGGACACUGGGGACAGUUCAUGGAAACAUAGGUCACCGAUGGUGAGCUGGAAUCUGAGUCACAGUGGCCUUGCAGUUGCAGCAGGUGUCUAGAGCCCAUGACCAGUUGCCUGCUGCCUUGAUUUAAAAUUUCCAGCGUCUGGGAUGCCAUGUGAUGUGCUGGACAGAAGCCAGACUGUGUAUGCCCCUGCCUGAUUCAGCUACACUCACACAGCCAUGAAGAGAUCAGAAAUACGAAAGCAUUUGGAAGAGUUCCCAGGACCACAUGAAUAUAUGGUGAAUGUGGUAUAACGUCUUCCUGCUCCUGUCCCUGGCUUGCCGUUCUUACCACGAGGCGCUCUCUUUCUGGCAGAGAGAACUAGCAGCAACCAGCGUUAAAACCAAUUGAAUCACCCACUGAGUGUUUUCCUGUCUUCCUGGUGGAGAAAGGUGCUGGACUCUUGAGAAUUGGGACUGAUUCUCACUGAUGUUUAGGACCUCAGCAGAAAUGGCCUCUGGUCAGAUGGCAUGCUGGAGUUUUCAGAUAAAAGAUGCGAUUUUGUAUAAGCAAAUGAUGCCCUUUGCGAUCAUUUUGCAAAUUAUCUGUGGCUUGCUGGGAAACUUGCUCAGUAUUCUGUCCCACACAUUUCUGCCUAGUGACCUUAAUCCUCCUAUAUUUCUGUUGCUGGAGUUGGGCCUGUACAUAGUCUCUUCAUGGGCUGUUUUCAUAAAGCUUGAUUAAUGUUCUAUUGUUAAUGUCCUUUAUAAGACCUGGACACUUGCUUUAUUGAAAUGGAACUUUGAGACUGCAGGGGCAGCUCUCCUGUUUGUUACAUGGCCUAAGACCCAACUCCAGCAAACUCCAGCUAAAUUUUGCAACUUUGAUGCAAGAGAACAGUCUGGCUGGCAACUGUUAAAUCUUUAGGAAAAAACGACCAAAGUGGUGUGACCAUAGGCUGCACGUGUAGUGGCAUUACAUGCCAUCCUUGAGGUGCAGUAAGUUUUACUGAACGAUACCAGUGUGAUAAACAGUACCAUUUUACUUCAAAUGUUGAACCAUUUGCUGAUAUUAAAAUUAUUUUCCACAAAUUUGGAUUUGCAUAAUAGUAUAGAGGUUGUAUUAUUUCUAUCACAUCAUUUUACCUUACGGUGAAAUAUCUAAGAAUGGUCUUUUACAUGUUGAACGUGUUAGUUAUUAAUAACAACCCAGAAAUUAUCACUUGAAAGCACCAUUAUAGAAAGCUGAAGUAAUAUCCUUAUCUAGGCAGACUUCAUCUGUUUGAAACAUGGAAAAAGCUUAAGGUGCUCAUUAAAUUCUUCUAAUGAUUUAUUACAG